AGGGAGGUGAUAAAUGUCGUUUCAGUUUUCAUAAUGUCGUUUUGACUUCAAACGUGAUCUUGACCAUUUUCGAGUUUGAAUUUGGCAAAAUUCAGAACAUGGAAUUUGUAAUUCUUUGAGUUAGCAUUCUAAUCUAAUUUGAAUCGCCAAGAUUGGAUGCCGGUUGAGAAAGUUAUGCAUGAAUUAAUGAACACUGCCCACAACUUUGAUGUUUUAAAUUAUGUAAAAUUUAAAACGUAACUCAUUCAU
rnacentral:lncRNA from 1 species